CCCUGUUCCCUCCUCUUAUGCCUCCCCCUUUUCUAUUUCUCCCUCCUCAGCUUUAUCCCUUUUCCUCCUUUCCAGCUCUUCAACAAGAAAAAGUCUUUAAGGAACCAAUUCUGAGCAAUUCUCGUUUCUGCAGUCCCGCGGUCUGGAAGAUAAAGAGUAGAGGAAGCCAAUUCAUCCAUCCCCAUCUCUGUCCCUAACCCCUCUCCUUAUAUUUACCCUUAUCCUAGGUCCUAUCUGCGGCCCCGCCUGCCCCCUUUAGGACUUAUACAGUGGAAAUCGCUGCCCUCUAGUGUCGGCACCUGGGAGCCCGGGAGAGCGCCCACCGCUCAAGAGUUUUUUGGGGGAGGAGGAGAUUCCCCCUUUUUCAGCCUCAAAACUGGAGGAGAUUGAGUAACCCUGAAGCUCAGAUCUCCGGUUUCUUCCACUCUCUUCUGGGACCGUCUUUUUUCCUCCACCCCUUUUUCCCUUUCUAACUAUUUGGAUCAGUAUCAGGUUGAGCUCUGAAUUGCCACUACCUGCGAGAGGAGAAAAGGGGACGAAAGAGAACAGCUGGAGCGAGUCUUCGGGAGGCCCCCCACUAUCCUUGCUGCAGCUGGCUAAGCGCUCACCAUGCAGCCAGGAACUAACUGAAGACACGGUGGGAUUCGGAGCCCGCUGGUCCUUCAGGUCUUUUUUGGCUUAAAGAAAAGGUUGCCUACAGUGAACAGGUCAACUGUAAAGUCUCAAAAUCUUCACUUUCCUUUGUGCUUUUAAAAGUACAGCCUCUGAACAAGCGUGUUGUGUUCUUCCCAGGAAGCACUGUUUUUUAAAACAUCAACUAGUUCUA